AAAUAAUGAACAAGUUCAUUUUAUCUUCUAACAUAGGAAAGAAAGAUGUGAAAGCAGAUAAACCCAUAUGUAUGUAUUGAUCUUAUGUGUUUGAAUAGAAAUAUGCUAAGAAGCAAAUGACUGAAAUAGAAGGAAAAACUGUGUAUUUCAGCUUUUUGAUUCCAUCCAACUCCAAAGAAACAAAGAGUUCAGUGCUAAAGACACAUGCCCAAUUCAGGUAAGUGCAAUUUUGAAAAUAUAAACCAAAAGAAAAAAGAAUUGUAUGCCAAA
rnacentral:lncRNA from 1 species